rnacentral:rRNA from 1 species
CUAGCAUAUCAAUAAGCGGAGGAAAAGAAACUAACAAGGAUUCCCCUAGUAACUGCGAGUGAAGCGGGAAAAGCUCAAAUUUAAAAUCUGGCGGUCUCUGGCCGUCCGAGUUGUAAUCUAGAGAAGUAAUGCCCGUGCUGGACCGUGUAUAAGUCUCCUGGGAUGGGGCGUCAUAGAGGGUGAGAAUCCCGUCUUUGACACGGACUACCAGUGCAUUGUGGUAUGCUCUCAAAGAGUCGAGUUGUUUGGGAAUGCAGCUCAAAAUGGGUGGUAAAUUCCAUCUAAAGCUAAAUAUUGGCGAGAGACCGAUAGCGAACAAGUACCGUGAGGGAAAGAUGAAAAGAACUUUGGAAAGAGAGUUAAACAGUACGUGAAAUUGCUGAAAGGGAAACGCUUGAAGUCAGUCGCGUUGGCCGGGAAUCAGCCUUGCUUUUGCUUGGUGUACUUUCUGGUUUGACGGGUCAGCAUCAAUUUUGACCGCUGGAAAAGGACCUGGGGAAUGUGGCAGCUUCGGCUGUGUUAUAGCCCCUAGUCGCAUACAGUGGUUGGGAUUGAGGAACUCAGCACGCCGCAAGGCCGGGUUUCGACCACGUUCGUGCUUAGGAUGCUGGCAUAAUGGCUUUAAGCGACCCGUCUUGAAACACGGACCAAGGAGUCUAACAUGCCUGCGAGUAUUUGGGUGGAAAACUCAAGUGCGUAAUGAAAGUGAAAGUUGAGAUCCCUGUCGUGGGGAGCAUCGACGCCCGGACCAGAACUUUUGGGACGGAUCCGCGGUGGAGCAUGUAUGUUGGGACCCGAAAGAUGGUGAACUAUGCCUGAAUAGGGUGAAGCCAGAGGAAACUCUGGUGGAGGCUCGUAGCGAUUCUGACGUGCAAAUCGAUCGUCAAAUUUGGGUAUAGGGGCGAAAGACUAAUCGAACCAUCAUCUAA